AGAGUUUGAUCCUGGCUCAGGAUGAACGCUAGCUACAGGCUUAACACAUGCAAGUCGAGGGGCAGCAUGGGGGUUGCUUGCAAUCCCUGAUGGCGACCGGCGCACGGGUGAGUAACGCGUAUCCAACCUGCCCUUGUCCGCGGCACAGCCCGUCGAAAGGCGGAUUAAUGCCGCAUGCGGUCCGAAGACGGCAUCAGAUUCGGACGAAAGGUUUAGGCCGGAGAAGGAUGGGGAUGCGUCCGAUUAGCUAGACGGCGGGGUAACGGCCCACCGUGGCGACGAUCGGUAGGGGUUCUGAGAGGAAGGUCCCCCACAUUGGGACUGAGACACGGCCCAAACUCCUACGGGAGGCAGCAGUGAGGAAUAUUGGUCAAUGGGCGUAAGCCUGAACCAGCCAAGUAGCGUGCAGGACGACGGCCCUACGGGUUGUAAACUGCUUUUGCGCGGGGAUAAAGUGGGGGACGUGUCCCUCAUUGCAGGUACCGCGCGAAUAAGGACCGGCUAAUUCCGUGCCAGCAGCCGCGGUAAUACGGAAGGUCCGGGCGUUAUCCGGAUUUAUUGGGUUUAAAGGGAGCGCAGGCGGUUGGGAAAGCGUGCCGUCAAAUGUCGGGGCUCAACCCCGGAAAGCGGCGCGAACUGUCCGACUUGAGUACGCGGAAGGCAGGCGGAAUUCGUGGUGUAGCGGUGAAAUGCAUAGAUAUCACGAAGAACUCCGAUUGCGAAGGCAGCCUGCCGCAGCGCAACUGACGCUGAGGCUCGAAAGCGCGGGUAUCGAACAGGAUUAGAUACCCUGGUAGUCCGCGCGGUAAACGAUGGACGCCCGCCGUGGGGUAGAUAUAUUCCGCGGCCAAGCGAAAGCGUUAAGCGUCCCACCUGGGGAGUACGCCGGCAACGGUGAAACUCAAAGGAAUUGACGGGGGCCCG
rnacentral:rRNA from 1 species